GACGGUAUGGCCUAAUGGAUAAGGCGCCAGACUUCGGAUCUGGAGAUUGAGGGUUCGAGUCCCUUUACCGUCG